rnacentral:rRNA from 1 species
GACGAACCGUGCGAACGUUAUUCGGAAUCACUGGGCUUAAAGCGCGUGUAGGCGGAUGAGCACGUCUGUCGCUGAAAUCCCCCGGCUCAACCGGGGAACGGGCGCGGAUACGGCUCGUCUCGAGGGGCGUAGGGGGACCUGGAACUUCCGGUGGAGCGGUGAAAUGCGUUGAGAUCGGAAGGAACGCCCGUGGCGAAAGCGAGGUCCUGGACGCCUACUGACGCUGAGACGCGAAAGCGUGGGGAGCGAACAGG